UUGGCCAAGACUGCACACUUAAAGGAAGACCAAUAGACGCUCAGGCGCAAGGUGAAGGCUCUGGGGCUGAGACGCCAGUGCAGAAAUAUGUCUUAAAUCAUCGCCAUAUUAUUUCUGAGUACUUGGCAUCGACCCAGAAAACUCCCCUAACUCACCAGUUUCCAGCGUAAUAUCUUGAUCCACUCAUCAGCUUCUACUCCUGUCUUUGCACAGAGGUAAAAUGUCCUGAACGGAAAUACUAAGCUGAUAGGACGAAAGAAAGAAGAAUUCCAUGGCCAUGAGUUAGUUAGAUGACAAAUUAUAAUUAGUUGAAGCCAACUAUAAUGAUGCUAGUACCCUUUUCUUGCUUCCUCUGCUGCGGCAAUAGCCGUGGGACCCAGUCUAGGCCAAUGAGAUAUGAGGGGAAAUCUGAUAGGAGACUUUCUGGGGAAGUACCUGCCUUCCUGAUAAAAAUGGACAGGCAUAGCUGAUGCCAUCCCUACAUCUUUUGUCACGACUUACAUGAACUCUGGAGUAGCAAGCAUGAGGAAAAGGCCAACAAAACUGUAGAGGCACAGGACCUGACCUUGUCAAGACAGCUGCCUGCCUCCAAGUACUUCGUUAUAUGAGAAAUAUAAACCCCUGCUAGCUCAUAUGAUUCCUUUAUGCAAAUGUUUGAAGACGUCUACUCUUGGUUGAUACUAUAGAAUUAAUGUCCAUUUUCUUAGGUGUGAUAAUGGUAUUGUAGUUGUAGCAGUGACACUUUUAUUCUUAGGAGAUGCAUCUUGAAGUAUUUAGGGAUAGUGUGUCAUGGUGUCUGCAAUUUACCUUCCAUUGGUUCAGGUAAAAAUGUGAUUAGAUAGAGAUAAAGCAAAUAUUAACAAUUGAUGUAUCUAGG